rnacentral:sRNA from 1 species
UGAAAAACGGUGAAGAGGAGCAGUAACUGUUUUGUGGCUUAAAGAGAGCAGCCGGCGGGUGCAAGGCUGUAGCCUCCAAACAGUGAACUCGCCUCGGAGUUGCCAGAGGGAUAAGUACUUCUGGCCGGUAUGUUCCGUUAUCCAAAACAAGUGGGCAAGAAUGUGGGGCUGUAGCGCAGUGGGAGCGCGCUUCCUUGGCAUGGAAGAGGUCGCGGGUUCGAUCCCCGCCAGCUCCACCAUUAUUGUAUUCUUGCCAAGUAGGGUGGUACCGCGGGAAAACACUCCUCCCGUCCCUUAG